GUCAACUGAUCGACGGUCUGACCUGCCCACUGAAUUUUAAAUGGCCGCAGUAUAUUAACUGUGCAAAGGUAGCAUAAUCAUUAGUCUUUUAAUUGAAGGCUGGAAUGAAUGGUUGGACGAAAUAUUAACUGUUUCAAAUAAAUUUAUUAUAGAAUUUUAUUUUUUAGUAAAAAAGCUAAAAUGUAUUUAAAAGACGAGAAGACCCUAUAAAUCUUUAUAAUUUAUUUAUUAUGAUAAUUAAGAAUUAUUUUUUUAUAAUAAACUAAAUUAUUUUAUUGGGGUGAUAUUAAAAUUUAAUGAACUUUUAAUUAGUUAAAUCAUUAAUUUAUGAAUUUUUGAUCCAAUUUUAUUGAUUAUAAAUUUAAGUUACUUUAGGGAUAACAGCGUAAUUUUUUUGGAGAGUUCAUAUCGAUAAAAAAGAUUGCGACCUCGAUGUUGGAUUAAGAGAUAUAUUUGGGUGUAGCCGUUCAAAUAAUUAAGUCUGUUCGACUUUUAAAUUCUUACGUGAUCUGAUUCCAGACCGGAGGUUUAACCC
rnacentral:rRNA from 1 species